GUUAGGCGGCGUGAAAUGUAAGAUGGCGACCCAGUAAAAGAAGGCAUAUUGCGUGCUGCGAUUUUAGGUGUCUAAAUCCAUCGUUACAGUGCGCUGUGAAUUUCGUGUACGUUUUCAGAAUGAGGCGCCACAUGAAAACAACAUUCGCAGAUGGUACCGGCAGUUUGUGGACAGUGGAUGUCUCUGUAAAGGCAACGAAAGGUGCGCACACAGAGGCACUUUGAUGGAUGCACAUAAAAUUUGGGCAGUUAAGCUUCCGAAUGACAUAUUAUGAUUGUACACGGUGUGGUCUGGUAAUUUAUAGAUGGCUGCAAGUAGCACUUCACUAAUACCAGUCGGUAUGUAAACCUCUGUGACUUCUAUUGAAACAUGAGGAAGAAGGUCUACAGGAUGGGAAUGCACCUUUUCUUCUCGGGAAGCGGUAGCGGUCUUCCACAUCUGAUAUUCAUCUACAGAUUAAAAAAAUCAAGGAAAUGAUAAAAAGCCUUUCUGAUGCAACAGGACAAGAAGCAUAUUACACCAGAACCCUCCUAGAUGAAACUGUCAAAGUUAGCGCAUUUACAAUAGAUACAUAUAGAAAAUUGAUAAAACACUUAAAAGAAGAGAACAUCAUCCACUACACAUACUAACUUAAAGAGGAACGAGCCUACAGAGUUGCCAUAAGGCACCUCCACCACUCCAUCCCAAAUGGAGAAAUCAAACUGGAAUUAGAAAAUGCGGGUCAUAAAGUUCACAACGUAACGAACGUUAAAACUAGAGUAACUAAGGAACCAUUAUCUUUGUUCUCUGUAGAUCUAGAGCCUCAACACAACAACAAAGAAAUAUUCAAAGAAGAAUUCCUUUACAACAUCAAAAUAACUGUUGAGGCUCCGAAGAAGAACUAAAACAUAAUCCAGUGCACGAGAUGUCAAUCCUACGUCCACUCUAAAAUGUACUGCUCAAAGCCAUUCAACUGCGUAAAAUAUGGCCAGUCGCACGACACAAAAUAUGCAAAAAACAAAAAAGCACAACUGCUAAAUGUGUCCUGUGUUCUGGAGACCACACUGCAAACUACAAAGGAUGUACUGUGUACAAAGACUUGGUAACAUCUAGAAAUAGGACCGCAAGAGAGCACCAAUCAAACCAGUCACAACUAAUCAAUCAAGAAGAAUGCAUCAACAGAAACAGAAACGUACAACAACCUACCUAUCCUCAGUAUUAUCAACAAACAUACGCAGAACAAGCUACCACUCCUCAGUAUCAUCAACAAACAUACGCACAAGCAGUAAAAUCAAACAGCCAAACCGAGACAUCAACAAAUAUCGAAAACCAAUGCUCAACUUUCUUAAACGAAUUUAAACGCCUGUUUGCACAAUUAAUAAGCCAGAACAGCAUGAUUCUAAACUUAUUAACCACUGUUAUAGGAAAGUUAAAUCCGUGAACAUACUCAGAAUAGCCACGUGGAACGCCAGCGGACUGCUUAAUCAUAAGCAGGAGGUAAUACCAUUUUUAAACUAAAAAAAAGAUUCAUGUCCUACUUACCUCUGAGUCCCAUUUCACCGAACGGACAACAUUCAACAUAUCGCAGUACAUCACCUACAGUACUCCCCAACCGGAUGGCACCGCCCAUGGAGGCUCGAUAAUAAUCAUUCGUAAAUCUAUCCCUCACAAUGAAUUACCUAAAUUUCAAACAGAUAAAAUUUAACCAACCACCGUCGAAAUUAAAGCCUCCACAUGGGAGUUCACAAUCACUGCUAUAUACAUUCCCCACGGCACAGUAUAUCUACAGAUGAAUACAAGGAUUUCUUCCAAUUUCUUGGUACUCGAUUUAAAGCAAGAGGCGACUGGAAUGCUAAACACACAAGCUGGGGCUCGAGAAUUAUCACUACAAAAGGCCGAAAUCUUCUACGAGUAAUGGCUAAUAAUAACUAUAACUUCUUAACUAGCGGAGAACCUACUUACUGGCCAAGUGACCCCAAGAAAAUUCCUGAUUUAUUAGACUUUUUUGUAACAAGUGAAAUAACAAGAAACAAGUGCACAAUAGAAUCAAACGCCGACCUCACAUCUGAUCACACCCCAGUUAUAAUCAGUUUGAGCACUAAAGUUAUCAAAAAAUAAACAAAUGGUACAAACAAGUAAAUCAAGUAGGGACUGAAUGUAAUACUGGCACAUCCUGUGUGUCGUUUGGUUGAUUGUACUGAGUUUACGUUUUGUAUUGAGUUACGUUUUAUUGUAUAUUAUUUACGUUUUUAUUGUAUUUCAUUUUACGUUCUUACGGUAUUUGAUUACGUUUUAUUGUAUGUACGUUUUGAUGUAUUGGGUAAUACGUUUUAUUGUAUUGUACGUUAUUGUAUUGUGUUGUAUUGCUGUAUUUUGUGUUGCUAUUACUGUAGUAUCUCUGUACUGGGGUAGGACUACUGCCACCGGGUGCAAACUCAAUUGCAGUAAUUAAUAAAUAAUAAUAAUAA